UACGUAGGGGGCGAGCGUUGUCCGGAUUUAUUGGGCGUAAAAGGCUUGUAGGUGGCCACGUCAAGUCGGAUGUGAAAUCUCCCGGCUCAACUGGGAGGGGUCAUUCGAUACUGGCGGGCUCGAGGCCGGUAGGGGGAAGCGGAAUUCCAGGUGUAGCGGUGAAAUGCGUAGAUAUCUGGAGGAACACCGGUGGCGAAGGCGGCAUCCUGGACCGGCAUUGACGCUGAGGCGCGAAAGCCAGGGGAGCAAACGGG
rnacentral:rRNA from 1 species